UCUGUUUUAAGUUUCACUCCUGCAGAGGACUCACGACGCCACACACUGAACAAUCAGGCAUGGCUUUGGCUCGAAACGUCGUCGUUACAACGUUCUUCAUCUUCCUCCCAUUGAUUUCCACAUCUGCCGCCCAAUCAGUUUUCCCCUUCACGGCGGAACUCGGCGACCUCUUCGCCAUCGAUCGGAUAGUCCGUCACCGGAAAAUUCCGAAAGAUGAUGAUUUGUACUGCGAUAGCUGGAAGUUCACCGUCGAGACCAAUGACGCUCCCAGCUGGAUUGUGAUCCCGGAGAGAUGUCGGGUAUUUGUACAGGAUUACAUGACGGGCGACAGGUACCGCUCGGAUUCCGAUGCCGUUGCAAACGCUUCUCUGGCGUUCGCGAAGACAGUGAGUGUCGCCGGCGAUGGGAAGGAUGCUUGGGUCUUCGACAUUGAUGAGACGUUGCUGUCGAACGUUCCCUACUACGAUGCUCAUGGAUUCGGGGCAGAUAUCUUUGAUGAAAGUUCCUUUGAUGAAUGGGUGGAUUUGGCUGAAGCCCCUGCCAUACCUGCAAGUUUAAGAUUGUACAAGGAGCUACGGAAGCAAGGGUUUACAAUUUUCUUGCUGACAGGUCGGAGUGAAUAUCAAAGGGAAAGUACAGAAAAGAAUCUGCAAUAUGCUGGAUAUAGCAAUUGGGAAAGGCUAAUUUUGAGGGGGCCCUCUGAUCAAGGGACAUUGGCCACUGUCUACAAAUCCCAGAAGAGAAAGGAAUUAGAGGAUGAAGGCUACAGGAUCCAUGGAUGCUCUGGAGAUCAGUGGAGUGACUUGGUGGGAUUUGCAGUAGCCGAAAGGUCUUUUAAACUCCCCAAUCCCAUGUACUACAUUGCCUGAUGACAAUUCUCCAACUUUUAUACUUCCUAUAACCAAAAAGGCUUUCAACAUUUCCUUUUUAGUACAUCCCAAAUUGUUGUCUACUAUCCUAAAAUAAACACAAUUUUUAUUCAUGUCAUCAUUCAUGGGCAAAAGGAGUAAAAAUGUGUACUUUUCAUUAAAAUUUGUAUUAUAUUUUACAGUAUGUAAUGAAUUUGGGAGAGAGGGAGUAAUCCCAUUGUUGUACAACCAUUUUAAACUGUUUUCUCAAGCCAGGCCUCUUCUGUUGAGAUUACUCUUACACCUGGAUACAUGUUUUCCUUGUGA